rnacentral:rRNA from 1 species
GUAGUCCACGCUGUAAACGAUGAUCACUCGUUGUUUGCGAUAUACCGCAAGUGACCAAGCGAAAGCGAUAAGUGAUCCACCUGGGGAGUACGUUCGCAAGAAUGAAACUCAAAGGAAUUGACGGGGGCCCGCACAAGCGGAGGAACAUGUGGUUUAAUUCGAUGAUACGCGAGGAACCUUACCUGGGUUUAAAUGGGGAGUGACAGGCUUGGAAACAGGCCCUUCUUCGGACACUCUUCAAGGUGCUGCAUGGUUGUCGUCAGCUCGUGCCGUGAGGUGUCGGGUUAAGUCCCAUAACGAGCGCAACCCACGUCGUUAGUUGCCAUCAGGUAGUGCUGGGAACUCUAACGAGACUGCCGGUGUAAACCGCGAGGAAGGUGUGGAUGACGUCAAAUCAGCACGGCCCUUACAUCCAGGGCUACACACGUGUUACAAUGGCCGGUACAGAGGGCAGCUACUAUGCAAAUAGAUGCGAAUCUCAAAAACCGGUCUCAGUUCGGAUCGAAGUCUGCAACCCGACUUCGUGAAGCUGGAUUCGCUAGUAAUCGCGCAUCAGCCAUGGCGCGGUGAGUACGUUCCCGGGCCUUGUACACACCGCCCGUCAAACCAUGGGAGUUUGGGGUACCUAAAGUCUGUCACCGCAAGGAGCGGCCUAAGGUAAAUCAGAUGACUGGGGUUAAGUCGUAACAAGGUAACCGUA